UUAACACUGACACAGAGGUGGAGGAGAGGGGGGGUUAACACUGACACAGAGGUGGGGGAGAGGGGGGGUUAACACUGACACAGAGGUGGAGGAGAGGGGGGGUUAACACUGACACAGAGGUGGAGGAGAGGGGGGGUUAACACUGACACAGAGGUGGGGGAGAGGGGGGGUUAA